rfam:Echinostoma caproni strain Egypt genome assembly, scaffold: ECPE_scaffold0020359
GCGCUGCUGACGAGUCCCGAACAGGACGAAGCAUUUGUCCAGUGC